CACUGGUGUUAGAUACGUGGAGCUCCACCGCGGAUACAAAGGAAUGGCUCCUGCUGAAGCUGACAUGCUGUUCCUGGAAAACGCAAAGAAACUCUCCAUGUACGGAGUCGACCUGCAUCGUGCCAAGCUGGUCAGCCGGCUGUUUGAGUGUUUAGCAGCGGCGCAGGAGGAGGUAAGAUGCUGUGUGUCGUCUGUGUUUGUGGAUACAUGUGUGCUUUUUCUUGGUAGGUCUUGUGUGUGUCUGUGAUGGUUAUUGUAGUGUUUCUGUGGCUCUGCAUGAGCGGGAUGAUGAAGGUCUUCGGCGUGUCGUUGUGCUUUGUUUGUCCUCUAUAUCAGCUCAACACGAGCGUCUCGCAGCUUCAUCGUGAAUCCGUUCUCCAUUGUGUUGUCGUUCAGUGUUGAUGGUCACGCUGAUGCUGCAGACGCUCGUGUUGAGCUGCAUUGGUUUAUCGAUUCAUUUGAUCGUCUCCUGGUAUAAGUGUUUAAAGAGACGCUUCCUCAUUCUGAACAUGAGAUCAUCUCUGUGCAACAUAAAGGGAAAAAUCUUUCAAUACAAAAUCAGUUCAGACAUUUUUCAACACUGUU